rnacentral:misc_RNA from 1 species
AUGUCUCUCAUGGCCAACAAAUGAGAGUAGUAAAGGUAAAUCAAGACAGCCGUUCGUACGAGCGUAGUACCACAACACAAUUUGGCACCUAAAUAAUCCCUGGGAUUUAUUAACUACUGUGUUUAAAGCUUCAGCAAUCCUGGGACAGGUCAGUAGAACCAUUGUUACCGUGGAUAUCCAUCAGCUGGCCCUGGGGUCCCUCCCACCAAGAUAGUGGGCGUCGAAGAUGCCCAGUGCCACAGGCAACACUACAGUGAAUAAUGUACACCACAAUAAUAUGUCAAUGAACAAUGAAGAAUGUGGCAUUUGCGAUGUGUGGGCACACAACCUAGACAAGGAGUUCCGCACAAUAAGGCAAAUUGUCCAGAAGUAUAACUAUGUAGCCAUGGAUACUGAAUUCCCCGGGGUGGUCGCACGGCCCAUAGGAGAAUUCAGAAGCACGGCAGACUAUCAAUACCAACUGUUACGGUGUAAUGUAGACCUCCUGCGGAUUAUUCAGCUCGGGUUAACAUUCCUGGAUGAGCAAGGGAAAACACCCAGAGGGCCAUACACCACCUGGCAGUUCAAUUUCAAGUUCAAUCUAUCGGAGGACAUGUAUGCGCAAGACAGCAUUGAACUUCUCACUAAUUCAGGGAUCCAAUUCAAGAAACAUGAAGAAGAUGGUAUAGAACCACUGUAUUUUGCAGAGCUUCUUAUGACAUCCGGUAUUGUUCUAAUGGACAAUAUCAAGUGGCUUUCAUUUCACAGUGGUUAUGAUUUCUGCUACCUUUUAAAAUUACUCACUGAUCAGAAUUUACCUGAUUCAGAAAGUGAGUUUUUUGAGCUUUUGAGGAUUUACUUCCCAAUCAUUUAUGAUGUGAAGUACCUGAUGAAGAGCUGUAAAAACCUCAAGGGUGGCCUGCAAGAAGUGGCUGACCAACUGGAGUUGAUGAGGGUGGGCCCUCAGCACCAAGCGGGGAGUGAUUCGUUGCUAACGGGGAAUGCCUUCUUCAAAAUGAGAGAGAUGUUUUUCGAGGACAACAUUGAUGAUGCCAAAUACUGCGGACACCUAUAUGGCCUUGGUACAACGUUUGUCAUUAAUGGCAACAGUUUCAUCGAUAAUGGUGACAACCACAAUGGGUCUCAGUAAUGAAAGCCCUGUUACUAUUUCGGAGAUUUCAAGCCAAGGCUAUUACGAAGUCAAAAAGGAGAAAAGUUUGUUACUGAAGAAGAUGGUGACACCAGUGCUGUUGCAGGCAGCGGUACUGAGGCUCCAUCAUAUACUUGGCAUAACAAUCAACAUCUGUGGGCAGAAAACUGCAAGAUUUCAUCCUCUAAUGUAAACUUUUCUUCUUUUAAAACAAAACUCCUUUUAACUAGUUUAUUCCAAACUGGUUAUGUUAUGACUGUGAUUUUAAAAUAUGCAAGAGUUUUUACAAAAAAUUGAAAAAUUAAAUAAAAAAAGUAUGCUUGCAAUGCAGGCCUCUGUAACAGAAAAAA